GGAAAACUGGGGCCAUUGGAAAAGCUAUGCAGAGCUCUUGGGCCUCAUCCAGAGCUUCCUGAAGUCAAUGGGAGUCACUCCAUGGGUCUGCCUGGCCAUGCACUCCUGAGGCAAUAUGUGUCCCAGUUGGAAACAAUUCCACCUUCAUGGAGCUAGUAACAAGAUCAGCUACUUUUCUUCCGUUGUUACUACAUUUUAGUGGAAAAGACUCAAGAUAGAAACAAAUAGCCUGUCUGGAUCUUCGUAGGUCUGUGACACUACUGUCUGAAAGGCAGUGAUAUCCCGAUCAUGGACAAGAGAAAUACAAUGACAUUAGCUGCAAUUCAGUUUCCCAUACGGCAGAUGGAGUUUUCUAUUUUUAAAUACAACAACAUGCUGUCAGAGAAAGGAGAGAUGGCAUAAACCCAACCAAAACACUGGAGCCAAGCACCCAUGAACACGGGAAAAUUGCCUUCUGGAUCCAAGCACUGGAGUGCUUUGGCAAGCCCACCUAUCACAGAAGCAGAUGUUUUUCUCUUUAUUGCCUUUAUAAGACAGACUGGGAAACUCCUCAUCUUACAGAAGAUGGGAGGUGUCAGUAACUUGCACUGUUAGGAAGAAAUUGUGCUACAAAA
rnacentral:lncRNA from 14 species